GAUGAAGAACGUAGCGAAAUGCGAUACGUAAUGUGAAUUGCAGAAUUCAGUGAAUCAUCGAAUCUUUGAACGCACCUUGCACCCUUUGGUAUUCCGAAGGGUAUGCUCGUUUGAGUGUCAUUGUACUCUCACACUUCUAAUUCCUUUCGGGAUUGGGAGCGGUGGACUUGGGUGUUGCUGCUUUAGUUGUGGCUCACCUCAAAUAAGUUAGUGCAACUCUUGGUUGGACAUAGUACGGCGUGAUAAGUGUCUUCGCCGGCGCCUCUGUAAGGAGGGUGGCCGAUCGGGAGCUCUGUGCUUCAAACCGUCUUCGGACAAUCUUUGACAACUUGACCUCAAAUCGAGUAGGACUACCCGCUGAACUUAAGCAUAUCAAUAAGCGGAGGA
rnacentral:misc_RNA from 1 species